UACGGGGGGAGCAAGCGUUGUUCGGAUUUACUGGGCGUAAAGGGCGCGUAGGCGGCGCAACAAGUCACUUGUGAAAUCUCCGGGCUUAACCCGGAGCGGUCAAGUGAUACUGUCGUGCUAGAGUGCGGAAGGGGCUACUGGAAUUCUCGGUGUAGCGGUGAAAUGCGUAGAUAUCGAGAGGAACACCUGCGGCGAAGGCGGGUAGCUGGGCCGACACUGACGCUGAUGCGCGAAAGCGUGGGGAGCGAACAGG
rnacentral:rRNA from 1 species